GAUGAACGCUAGCGGCAGGCCUAAUACAUGCAAGUCGAGGGGCAGCACAAGUAGCAAUACUGGGUGGCGACCGGCGCACGGGUGCGUAACACGUAUACAAUCUGCCCAUAUCAGGAGAAUAGCCCGGAGAAAUUCGGAUUAAUGCUCCAUAACAUAAUGAAUUGGCAUCAGUUUAUUAUUAAAGUUCCGACGGAUAUGGAUGAGUAUGCGGAUGAUUAGCUAGUUGGUAGUGUAAUGGACUACCAAGGCAACGAUCAAUAGGGGUACUGAGAGGUUAAACCCCCACACUGGUACUGAGACACGGACCAGACUCCUACGGGAGGCAGCAGUAAGGAAUAUUGGACAAUGGUGGCAACACUGAUCCAGCCAUGCCGCGUGCAGGAUGAAGGCGCUACGCGUUGUAAACUGCUUUUGUACGGGAGAAAACCUAUCUACGUGUAGAUAGCUGAUAGUACCGUAAGAAUAAGCAUCGGCUAACUUCGUGCCAGCAGCCGCGGUAAUACGAAGGAUGCAAGCGUUAUCCGGAUUUAUUGGGUUUAAAGGGUGCGUAGGCGGACUUAUAAGUCAGUGGUGAAAUCUCGAUGCUUAACAUCGAACGUGCCAUUGAUACUGUAG
rnacentral:rRNA from 1 species